GACGAACGCUGGCGGCGUGCUUAACACAUGCAAGUCGAACGGUGAAGCGCCUUCCUUUUUGGUGGGUGUGGAUGAGUGGCGAACGGGUGAGUAACACGUGAGUAACCUGCCCCCUUCUUCUGGAUAACCGCAUGAAAGUGUGGCUAAUACGGGAUAUUCUGGGUCUGUCGCAUGAUGGGUCUGGGAAAGAUAUUGUUUCGGUGGGGGAUGGGCUCGCGGCCUAUCAGCUUGUUGGUGGGGUGAUGGCCUACCAAGGCGGUGACGGGUAGCCGGCCUGAGAGGGUGGACGGUCACACUGGGACUGAGACACGGCCCAGACUCCUACGGGAGGCAGCAGUGGGGAAUAUUGCACAAUGGGCGCAAGCCUGAUGCAGCGACGCCGCGUGAGGGGUGGAGGCCUUCGGGUUGUGAACCUCUUUCGCCAGUGAAGCAGGCCUGCCUCGUUUGUGGGUGGGUUGACGGUAGCUGGAUAAGAAGCGCCGGCUAACUACGUG
rnacentral:rRNA from 1 species